rnacentral:rRNA from 1 species
CACGGAGGGGGCGAGCGUUAUUCGGAAUUAUUGGGCGUAAAGGGCGCGUAGGCGGCUUGUCAAGUCAAAGGUGAAAUCCCUCGGCUCAACUGAGGAACUGCCUUUGAAACUGACUGGCUUGAGGCCGGGAGGGGGUAGCGGAAUUCCCAGUGUAGCGGUGAAAUGCGUAGAUAUUGGGAGGAACACCAGUGGCGAAGGCGGCUACCUGGACCGGUACUGACGCUGAUGCGCGAAAGCGUGGGUAGCAAACAGG